UUAGAAAAUGUUCCUAGGGAAGCAGAACUGGCAAAGCACAGCAGGAACUGAAGGACUCUUGCCCAGCCUGUGUUGGUAAUGCCCACAUGCAAACCUGAACCUGCAGGCUGGAGGAUUUGCAGAAGUUUGGGCAAGCCAAAGGACAACACCAAGAUGCUCUCGGCAUGCAGGAGGGGAUGAUGAUCUUGUGCGGAGUCAUGUGCGGGUGACAGACCCAGGAACUGGCGUGACUCCUGACAUGUCCCAAGCACGUGGUCUUCUUGCUCCCUCCUCACAUGCACGUCCUGUGACCAGUAACAAGCAUACCUAUUUUCAUUUUUUGACAUCUGCCAAAUAUUUCUCUCAAACACCAGUCCGGUGAAGCAACCCAUCAUGUGCCCAAAAUACAUGACCUGGGGGCUUCUUUUGGGCUCUUACACUGAUUCAGCACUAGCCGCUGCUGAGUAAGUCCCUUAGCAUCUCUGGCCGUCACCAUCUGCAUUCGUCAAACGGAUGCAAGGAUGCAUUUUUUAGCUCCCAUGCAAGGCUGCAGAGAGGACAAAUUCAUUAGUAUUCAUAGGAGCCCUCUGAUUAUCUGCAGGCUAAAUAGUUAUGAGGCAAAACAAAGGUAGUGAUCACAAAUAAUAAGGCAAAGAGUAAAUAGCAGAAGACACGUAUAGCUAAAAAGUAUGGGUCUGUGUUAGUAAACAGGGAAGUCUGAAUGGUCAAUGGCUGUCUCAUUUCCAGGAGGAUGGUGCCCAGGACUAUAAAAGGUCUCCAGGCCCAGCUCACUUCAUUCGUUCAUCUUCUCUUCCCUUCAUUUCUCCUCACCGUUCAACAGGCUUUGCCUACACUACCAACAACAUGCCCAACGGAGGUUGCGGUGGAUGCUGCGGUGGAAAUAACUACACCGUCUGCUGCUACAGCAGCCCGAAGUGCUGCAAGACGCCGUGCUGCUACCCCUCGCAGUGCUGCUGCCCCAUGACCUGCUGCAUGCCCAUGCAGACCUGCUGCUACACCAUGAACAACGGAGGCUGCUGCGGUGGCAGUGGUGGUGGCUGCUGUGGCAACUAAAUCCCUGGGCAUGAGGCAGGCAUGGCUGUGCUCACCUCCUGUGCUGCAGAAAUGCCUGCUGCUUCCCACCUGGCUCGCUCUGCCUUGGAAAUAGAUAUGGAUAUGGAUAUGGCCCUAAAUGCUCUUCCUCCUCUGCUAGACUGCAGAUCUCUCCUUUUCUUUACUUGCCUUUAAUCACCAAAUGCCUGUAAUGUGCUUUGAAGUUUCUACACGCUGAUCAGUGUGAUUUUCCUUUGUAAGCGUUAGUCCUGCUGUUAGUUUUUCCUCUUGGUGUGUAGUAUCCUUAAUGUUGUUGAUAUAUCAUGUUCUUCUUUCUUGCUUUAAUCUCCAAUUACUCAUGAAAGACAAUAAAAGCUGUGGCUUAUGACA
rnacentral:lncRNA from 1 species